GGGCAGUUUGACUGGGGCGGUCGCCUCCCAAAAGGUAACGGAGGCGCUCAAAGGUUCUCUCAGUACGGUCGGAAAUCGUACGUAGAGUGUAAAGGCAAAAGAGAGCUUGAUUGCAAGACAUACAGGUCGAGCAAGGAUGAAAAUCGGACUUAGUGAUCCGGUGGUUCUGCGUGGAAGGGCCAUCGCUCAACGGAUAAAAGCUACCCUGGGGAUAACAGGCUUAUCUCCCCCAAGAGUCCACAU
rnacentral:rRNA from 1 species